GAUGAAGAACGUAGCGAAAUGCGAUAAGUAAUGUGAAUUGCAGAAUUCAGUGAAUCAUCGAAUCUUUGAACGCACAUUGCGCCCCCUGGUAUUCCGGGGGGCAUGCCUGUUCGAGCGUCAUUACAACCCUCAAGCUCUGCUUGGUGUUGGGCCCCGCCGCCCCGGCGGGCCCUAAAAUCAGUGGCGGUGCCGUCCGGCUCCGAGCGUAGUAAUUCUUCUCGCUCUGGAGGUCCGGGUGUGUGCUCGCCAGCAACCCCCAAUUUUUUCAGGUUGACCUCGGAUCAGGUAGGGAUACCCGCUGAACUUAAGCAUAUCAAUAAGCGGAGGA
rnacentral:misc_RNA from 1 species